rnacentral:rRNA from 1 species
UACGUAGGGUGCAAGCGUUAAUCGGAAUUACUGGGCGUAAAGCGUGCGCAGGCGGCGCGUUAAGACAGGUGUGAAAGCCCCGAGCUUAACUUGGGAAUUGCGCUUGUGACUGGCGUGCUGGAGUGUGGCAGAGGGAGGUGGAAUUCCACGUGUAGCAGUGAAAUGCGUAGAGAUGUGGAGGAACACCGAUGGCGAAGGCACUUUACUGGGCUAUUACUAACACUCAGAGACGAAAGCUAGGGUAGCAAAUGGG